rnacentral:rRNA from 1 species
GGUUGACCUCGAAUCAGGUAGGACUACCCGCUGAACUUAAG